rnacentral:rRNA from 1 species
GACGAACGCUGGCGGCGCUGCCUAAUACAUGCAAGUGGGACGCAAGAGAACACACUGUGCUUGCACACCGUGUUUUCUUGAGUCGCGAACGGGUGAGUAACGCGUAGGUAACCUGCCUAUUAGCGGGGGAUAACUAUUGGAAACGAUAGCUAAUACCGCAUAAUAUUAAUUAUUGCAUGAUAAUUGAUUGAAAGAUGCAAGCGCAUCACUAGUAGAUGGACCUGCGUUGUAUUAGCUAGUUGGUAAGGUAAGAGCUUACCAAGGCGACGAUACAUAGCCGACCUGAGAGGGUGAUCGGCCACACUGGGACUGAGACACGGCCCAGACUCCUACGGGAGGCAGCAGUAGGGAAUCUUCGGCAAUGGACGAAAGUCUGACCGAGCAACGCCGCGUGAGUGAAGAAGGUUUUCGGAUCGUAAAGCUCUGUUGUAAGUCAAGAACGUGUGUGAGAGUGGAAAGUUCACACAGUGACGGUAGCUUACCAGAAAGGGACGGCUAACUACGUGCCAGCAGCCGCGGUAAUACGUAGGUCCCGAGCGUUGUCCGGAUUUAUUGGGCGUAAAGGGAGCGCAGGCGGUCAGGAAAGUCUGGAGUAAAAGGCUAUGGCUCAACCAUAGUGUGCUCUGGAAACUGUCUGACUUGAGUGCAGAAGGGGAGAGUGGAAUUCCAUGUGUAGCGGUGAAAUGCGUAGAUAUAUGGAGGAACACCAGUGGCGAAAGCGGCUCUCUGGUCUGUCACUGACGCUGAGGCUCGAAAGCGUGGGUAGCGAACAGGAUUAGAUACCCUGGUAGUCCACGCCGUAAACGAUGAGUGCUAGGUGUUAGGCCCUUUCCGGGGCUUAGUGCCGGAGCUAACGCAAUAAGCACUCCGCCUGGGGAGUACGACCGCAAGGUUGAAACUCAAAGGAAUUGACGGGGGCCCGCACAAGCGGUGGAGCAUGUGGCUUAAUUCGAAGCAACGCGAAGAACCUUACCAGGUCUUGACAUCCCGAUGCUAUUCUUAGAGAUAGGAAGUUACUUCGGUACAUCGGAGACAGGUGGUGCAUGGUUGUCGUCAGCUCGUGUCGUGAGAUGUUGGGUUAAGUCCCGCAACGAGCGCAACCCUUAUUGUUAGUUGCCAUCAUUAAGUUGGGCACUCUAGCGAGACUGCCGGUAAUAAACCGGAGGAAGGUGGGGAUGACGUCAAAUCAUCAUGCCCCUUAUGACCUGGGCUACACACGUGCUACAAUGGUCGGUACAACGAGUUGCGAGCCGGUGACGGCAAGCUAAUCUCUGAAAGCCGAUCUCAGUUCGGAUUGGAGGCUGCAACUCGCCUCCAUGAAGUCGGAAUCGCUAGUAAUCGCGGAUCAGCACGCCGCGGUGAAUACGUUCCCGGGCCU